rnacentral:tRNA from 1 species
CGUGCUGUACCGAUUCCACUCGUCAAGGGAGAUGGGCCUCAUAACCCGAAGGUCACAGGUUCAAAUCCUGUCCCCGCAACCA